rnacentral:sRNA from 1 species
GUGUACCGCUCGUACAUUCCGGUUCCCGCUUACCGUCCACAGCCGGCUGACGACUGCUCGCGAGGUGGUGUUGCC